AAUGAACGCUGGCGGUGUGCCUAAUACAUGCAAGUCGAGCGACAGCACAAGAAGAUCUCGCCCCUGCUGUUAGCGGCGGACGGGUGAGUAACAAGUGGAUCACAUACUUCUUAUACUGGGGUGACUACGGGAAACAGGUUAUACUACCGGAUGAUAUUUUCUACCGCUUGGUUCAAAAGUGAUAGACACCCUUGCUGUCUGUAAUAGAUGGAUCCGCGCUGCAUUAGCUAGUUGGUAAGGUAACGGCUUACCAAGGCAACGAUGCAUAGCUGACCUGAGAGGGUGAUCAGCCACACUGGAACUGAGACACGGUCCAGACUCCUACGGGAGGCAGCAGUAGGGAAUCUUGGGCAAUGGGCGAAAGCCUGACGGAGCAACGCCGCGUGAGUGAUGAAGGUCUUCGGAUCGUAAAGCUCUUUUAUUAGGAAAGAACAGAUGUGUAUGUAUCUGUGGACAUCUUGACGGUACCUAAUCAGUAAGCAACGGCUAACUUCGUG
rnacentral:rRNA from 1 species